rnacentral:lncRNA from 1 species
ACUCAGGCACUUCAGGAUCACAGCAAGGAAAAUUCGCCAUUUGCGCUGCCGGGCUGAGUUCCUUUGAAUUCCAGUAAGUGAGUGAGCAGCUCCAUUCGGAGGAGUUUCCUUGGUCUUCCGAGGGGCAGGACCUGGUUUUCCCUGGCACAUCUUCCCGCUGCUCACUCCUUAAGUAGUUUCACUUACUUUUUAACUGUUACAUGCCAACAAAACAGGUUGCUUAAUUGGUUUGACCUUUCACAGUAUUUUUUAAUUUUUCAAUCUUAGUUUCGUGGUUCCAUCUGGCCCUUUAAAACGACAUCUGGUUAACUGUACUUAACCAGCUGAUCACUGUACAGUUAUUUUUAAAUGUAAUGUAUGCUUAAACAGAUGUUAUUUUUAUAGAUGUGGAUCUAAACUGCACUUGGGUACGUGCUAUGUCUGCAUAAACUCUUUCUGCAAUUCAAAUGUUGACACCCAAAAUUACAAGCCAGAAUGCUUAUGAACUCUACUAUUAUGGUACUGCACUUUGGUGCCGCUUGUUAGGUAAACAUCAAUUCAGUUCUUUUUUUCUCUCUUCAUUGCACAUAAAUAAAACAUUAGCAUUUAGUUUAUAAAGUGAUGAACAUUUUGCUGUGUUGGAUUUAGCUUUAUAAAUACAACUGCUGUCAGCAAGAAAAAAGGAUUUAUUGAAUAAAUAAUAAGAAAGCUAAGGGAAAAUGAAAAUAUAUAUAUUAUGCAAAACAUGGUGUCUGUCAACAGGUCACAAAGGGGCCUCGAUGCUUUUGGUGUUGCUGUCAGAGAUAAUUCCAUCUCUGGCACACUGUGUCUAUAGCGUUCUGGACCUUCCUCUCACGACUUCUUCAACAAUCACAAAAAUGUGAGGAAAAGCAUCAUCAAAGCAUUUUCUCCUGAGAAAGGCAUUUGUUAUCUUAAUGACAAGAGUUCCUGCAUGUUUGGGCAUGAAACAAUUACUUCCCACAAAGAGGAUGCCCACCCAGCUGGAAGGAAGCUGAAAGAGCAGAAGAAUUUUUGCCUUGAGGGGCGCCAAGAGAGGCUUCGAGUUCUUCUUCCCCAGUGGUUUGAUGAAAUCAAGCAUUUGCACCUUUGAAAAUUGGUUUAACCAACGUGGCCUGAAUAAAUGUCAUCCCCUUUCCUCCUGGCCGGAAGUC